CUCUUGCCUGCUGCCACAUAAGAUGUCUCUUUGCUCUUCCUUCAUCUUCCACCAUGAUUGUGAAGCCUCCCCAGCCGUGUGGAACUGUGACUCCAUUGAACUUCUUUCCUUUAUAAUUACCCAGUCUCAGAACACUAGAAGUCCCUGGGAGACUCUGACUAGUGAAGCUCAUACAACUAACUGUGAUGGUGGAGAUGAGGAUAGUCUUAAAGGUAACACGGUUGCAACAGACUCAUCUAUGCGAAUAUAAAGACUCUUCCUUCUGCAGCAAGUAGAAGGCAUGACUGAAGCAACUCAAGUCUACAUCAUCCCAGCUUCGCAAUCUCCCAAGAGAACAAGAGCCCCAGUUGGCCAACAUCUGAACAUAAAUUCUCAUCAGUCCACCUUCAUAAGCAGACGGGGAGGGUCUCCAGGGAUAACAGGAAUUUAACCAACUUCAGCAAUGAGCCUGGUUUACAGCCUCCUGCCCUGCAGCCUGUUCUUCCACAAACCCUGGGUAAAAUGCAGUCACCUUGUUGGUUUAAACCAGCUCUUGACAGACCCCCGGCAACAUACAGAUGAACGCAAGUGAACUUUCUCAUGACCACGCUAAAGUCUCCACCCUGGGCAACCUGUAGCUUCAUUACCAUGACAUGCAACCUAUGCGCUGACGUAAUGACUCACUGCAUCUGUGCAACUAGACCUCUCCUCGUCAUGCAAUGAUGCUCCCUGUCUCCUCUCCAUUGCGCCAUAAAACCCUCCUGUCACUUUCCCUCGGAAAGACACUGCUUUGGAGAAUACCCCCAGUGUCACCCUUACUUGAGUUAAAUAAAACUCCUAUUGAUCAAAGAC
rnacentral:lncRNA from 1 species